AUUGAACGCUGGCGGCAGGCUUAACACAUGCAAGUCGAACGAGUGGCGGACGGGUGAGUAAUGCUUGGGAAUCUAGCUUAUGGAGGGGGAUAACUACGGGAAACUGUAGCUAAUACCGCUUACCAUAGAGUGCGCCCAAGGGGGAUUAGGUAGUUGGUGAGGUAAAGGCUCACAAAGCCGACGAUCCCUAGCUGGUCUGAGAGGAUGACCAGCCACACUGGGACUGAGACACGGCCCAGACGCCUACGUGAGGCAGCAGUGGGGAAUAUUGCGCAAUGGGGGCAACCUGACGCAGCCAUGCCGCGUGAAUGAAGAAGGCCUUCGGGUUGUAAAGUUCUUUCGGUAGCGAGGCGUUAACGACAGAAGAAGCACCGGCGAACUCCGUGCCAGCAGCCGCGGUAAUAC
rnacentral:rRNA from 1 species